rnacentral:rRNA from 1 species
CGACUGUUAAUACCGCAUAAUGUCUACGGACCAAAGUGUGGGACCUUCGGGCCACAUGCUGUCGGAUGCGCCUACUGGGAUUAGCUAGUUGGUGAGGUAAUGGCUCACCAAGGCGACGAUCCCUAGCUGGUUUGAGAGGAUGAUCAGCCACACUGGAACUGAGACACGGUCCAGACUCCUACGGGAGGCAGCAGUGGGGAAUAUUGGACAAUGGGCGCAAGCCUGAUCCAGCCAUGCCGCGUGUGUGAAGAAGGCCUUCGGGUUGUAAAGCACUUUCAGCGAGGAGGAAGGGUUGUGUGUUAAUAGCACAUAGCCUUGACGUUACUCGCAGAAGAAGCACCGGCUAACUCUGUG